rnacentral:rRNA from 1 species
AACGAACGCUGGCGGCAGGCCUAACACAUGCAAGUCGAGCGCCCUGCUUGCAGGGAGCGGCGGACGGGUGAGUAACGCGUGGGAACGUGCCCUUCAGUUCAGAAUAGCCACUGGAAACGGUGAGUAAUACUGAAUACGCCCUUAGGGGGAAAGAUUUAUCGCUGAAGGAUCGGCCCGCGUUGGAUUAGCUUGUUGGUAGGGUAAUGGCCUACCAAGGCGACGAUCUAUAGCUGGUUUGAGAGGAUGAUCAGCCACACUGGGACUGAGACACGGCCCAGACUCCUACGGGAGGCAGCAGUGGGGAAUAUUGGACAAUGGGGGCAACCCUGAUCCAGCCAUGCCGCGUGAGUGAAGAAGGCCCUAGGGUUGUAAAGCUCUUUCGUCGGGAAGAAAAUGACUG